rnacentral:misc_RNA from 1 species
GUUUGUUUUGACUAAGUCUAGUUUGCAUCGGAUAGAUCGUCUGUGUUAGUUGGAUUAUGAAUGUUAACUUAUCUAAUUCUUCUUAUUUACUUUAUUUCAAUGCAUGUGACAUUUACUCGAGUCCAAUUUGGACUCCAUUUCCAUUUAUCGGAAUUGACUUACUAUCGAGUCAGCCUCCAUUUUCGAGACAAAGAAUUGAAGAAUAAGCCUGUAAAAAUUGAAGUACAGGACCAAACGCUGAAAAAAUUCAAAACACGGCAACAAGUUGAAGAUUUUGGACCAAGAAGUCCAAAUUUAAUUUUGAAAUAUUGUAUUUGAUUUUGGAGUCUAAGCUCUUAUCGUUUUUUAUUGCUAUUAUUUUGGCUAGUUUAGGCCAGGUACAAGUCAAAUGGGCCCAAAGCCCGAAUGCAAAUGGGGUCCAAAUACCGGUCCAGGCGGACAGAAACCGG